UGAUGGAGCACGCCGCGUGAGUGAAGAAGGCUUUCGGGUCGUAAAACUCUGUUGUUGGAGAAGAAUGGUCGGCAGAGUAACUGUUGUCGGCGUGACGGUAUCCAACCAGAAAGCCACGGCUAACUACGUGCCAGCAGCCGCGGUAAUACGUAGGUGGCAAGCGUUAUCCGGAUUUAUUGGGCGUAAAGCGAGCGCAGGCGGUUUUUUAAGUCUGAUGUGAAAGCCCUCGGCUUAACCGAGGAAGCGCAUCGGAAACUGGGAAACUUGAGUGCAGAAGAGGACAGUGGAACUCCAUGUGUAGCGGUGAAAUGCGUAGAUAUAUGGAAGAACACCAGUGGCGAAGGCGGCUGUCUGGUCUGUAACUGACGCUGAGGCUCGAAAGCAUGGGUAGCGAACAGGAUUAGAUACCCUGGUAGUCCAUGCCGUAAACGAUGAAUGCUAGGUGUUGGAGGGUUUCCGCCCUUCAGUGCCGCAGCUAACGCAUUAAGCAUUCCGCCUGGGGAGUACGACCGCAAGGUUGAAACUCAAAGGAAUUGACGGGGGCCCGCACAAGCGGUGGAGCAUGUGGUUUAAUUCGAAGCAACGCGAAGAACCUUACCAGGUCUUGACAUCUUUUGAUCACCUGAGAGAUCAGGUUUCCCCUUCGGGGGCAAAAUGACAGGUGGUGCAUGGUUGUCGUCAGCUCGUGUCGUGAGAUGUUGGGUUAAGUCCCGCAACGAGCGCAACCCUUAUGACUAGUUGCCAGCAUUUAGUUGGGCACUCUAGUAAGACUGCCGGUGACAAACCGGAGGAAGGUGGGGAUGACGUCAAAUCAUCAUGCCCCUUAUGACCUGGGCUACACACGUGCUACAAUGGAUGGUACAACGAGUUGCGAGACCGCGAGGUCAAGCUAAUCUCUUAAAGCCAUUCUCAGUUCGGACUGUAGGCUGCAACUCGCCUACAC
rnacentral:rRNA from 2 species